AACAAACAUACAUUUCAAUCUGCACCAGGAGCUGUAGUUCCUCUGACGUCCACCUGAGGCGCCAUCAUAUUUCACCCUAACUACAUUUAGCUGAUUCUUUUAAAGAGCAGCUGAUAACGCCCACCCUCUGCUUCCUGGCUGCUAAGAACCCGUCAUUAACUAAUCAGCAGGAUGAAAAACAACACGGC